rnacentral:rRNA from 1 species
GACGUAGGGCGCGAGCGUUGUCCGGAUUUAUUGGGCGUAAAGAGCUCGUAGGCGGCUUGUUGCGUCGGCUGUGAAAACCCGCGGCUUAACUGUGGGCUUGCAGCUGAUACGGGCAGGCUAGAGUUCGGUAGGGGAGACUGGAAUUCCUGGUGUAGCGGUGAAAUGCGCAGAUAUCAGGAGGAUCACCGGUGGCGAAGGCGGGUCUCUGGGCCGAUACUGACGCUGAGGAGCGAAAGCGUGGGGAGCGAACAGG